UGGGGAAUAUUGCCCAAUGGGGGGAACCCUGACGCAGCCAUGCCGCGUGAAUGAAGAAGGCCUUCGGGUUGUAAAGUUCUUUCGGUAUUGAGGAAGGUUGAUGUGUUAAUAGCACAUCAAAUUGACGUUAAAUACAGAAGAAGCACCGGCUAACUCCGUGCCAGCAGCCGCGGUAAUACGGAGGGUGCGAGCGUUAAUCGGAAUAACUGGGCGUAAAGGGCACGCAGGCGGUUAUUUAAGUGAGGUGUGAAAGCCCCGGGCUUAACCUGGGAAUUGCAUUUCAGACUGGGUAACUAGAGUACUUUAGGGAGGGGUAGAAUUCCACGUGUAGCGGUGAAAUGCGUAGAGAUGUGGAGGAAUACCGAAGGCGAAGGCAGCCCCUUGGGAAUGUACUGACGCUCAUGUGCGAAAGCGUGGGGAGCAAACAGGAUUAGAUACCCUGGUAGUCCACGCUGUAAACGCUGUCGAUUUGGGGGUUGGGGUUUAACUCUGGCGCCCGUAGCUAACGUGAUAAAUCGACCGCCUGGGGAGUACGGCCGCAAGGUUAA
rnacentral:rRNA from 1 species